rnacentral:rRNA from 1 species
UACGGAGGGAGCUAGCGUUGUUCGGAUAUACUGGGCGUAAAGCGCACGUAGGCGGCGCCGUAAGUCAGGGGUGAAAUCCCGGAGCUCAACUCCGGAACUGCCCUUGAAACUGCAGUGCUAGAAUCUUGGAGAGGCGAGUGGAAUUCCGAGUGUAGAGGUGAAAUUCGUAGAUAUUCGGAGGAACACCAGUGGCGAAGGCGGCUCACUGGUCCAUUACUGACGCUGAGGUGCGAAAGCGUGGGGAGCAAACAGG